rnacentral:rRNA from 1 species
AGAGCGAACGCUGGCGGCAGGCUUAACACAUGCAAGUCGAGCGGGCGUAGCAAUACGUCAGCGGCAGACGGGUGAGUAACGCGUGGGAACGUACCUUUUGGUUCGGAACAACCCAGGGAAACUUGGGCUAAAUACCGGAUAAGCCCUUACGGGGAAAGAUUUAUCGCCGAAAGAUCGGCCCGCGUCUGAUUAGCUAGUUGGUGAGGUAAUGGCUCACCAAGGCGACGAUCAGUAGCUGGUCUGAGAGGAUGAUCAGCCACAUUGGGACUGAGACACGGCCCAAACUCCUACGGGAGGCAGCAGUGGGGAAUAUUGGACAAUGGGCGCAAGCCUGAUCCAGCCAUGCCGCGUGAGUGAUGAAGGCCCUAGGGUUGUAAAGCUCUUUUGUGCGGGAAGAUAAUGGCGGUACCGCAAGAAUAAGCCCCGGCUAACGUUCGUGCCAGCAGCCGC